UGUUCUCUUCCUGUUUCCAUAAUUUGAGGUGGAGUUACAGUCUGGACAUAUCUGGUGGAGUUUUGUCUUUUGGACGGUCGUCUGCGUCUUUUUGUCUCUGCUGUCUCCGCUGGUGAUCAGUCUUUCUACAAACAUGUCUGAAGUCCAGCAACUGAGGGACAAGUGAAACUACAGCUAACACCUGCUGAUGACGGAAUGAUCAUAGACCACGAAGAAGAAAUGUGUCAUUUCAAAGAAGAGAAUAAAAGAGGUAAAGGGCUGGAUGCUGUUUCUAAUCCUCCAAAUGUCUUCUACAGAACAGACAUGCAGUCGUUGUUGGUGAUUAAAAAAGAAACUCUGCCUG